GCAUUUUUAGUUUGGUUUCUGUAUUCUGAUUUAUUCGAGUUAUUCUUCCGAUGAUCUUGUUGCGGCCAUCUGCCUUUGCUUGUCAGAUCCCAUGCUGCAACCACGCGCGACUCCGAGGCUGUUAGUCCGGUAUGAACGGUGGUCUGAUGAAUUGCUGCUGUACAGUAGCGGCGGUGGCAGGGCAGUGUCCGGCUGUACUAGAAUUGCUUGGAAGGUAGAAGUUUUGGUCUCGUGCGGCUGUACUGCUUUGGGAGGGCUAGCAGUAUUUUUGUUUUUGAUAUCAUUUGCAUUCUAGAAUUCUAAGGAUACUUAUGAGUUUACGUACUGUUUUUUCUGCUAUUCUGAAGCUUGAGACUUUGAUGCAUAUCGUUAAAUUGCUUGCCACCUACAACUUCCUAUUGCUCCAGUGAACAUAGCUAUGCAAACUGAAACAUAACUCAUGUGGCUUUGGUUAUUUCAGGAUCAUGUACCACAACAUGCUUGUUUGUUGCUGUUUUGAAUGUCCACUGUAUCAUGCUUCUCUGUCCCAUCACCUAAAAUUACUUGCAAUCUAACCUAUGAAAAAAACAAGCUGGGAAGAAUGAAAUGUGUAUCUUGCACAACCUGCAGCUCUUAUUGUUUUUUCUGCAAUUGUUCUCCUAGUGAUGUCAUUUCAUUUUGUUGAUCUUCUUCUACCAGUUAACAGGUUAUUUAAGUGCACACAAUUCCAAGCCUACAUUUAGUACAGGUAUACUUUCUCUAGGUUUCACUUAGAGCCCAACUGCAAUGUAGACCAAAGUAUUCCUGGAUGGCUGGAUCUGCUGCUAUUCUGAGGGCAUCAGCUUGUUGUAUUGUCUGUUUUACGCUUUGAGAACUUUACCUGUCGUUUUGCUCAAGCCAAGAAUUUGGUGGCUACAACAAAUUUGUAUUCACUUAAAAUGGAGAUGUCUGAUUUGUUUUUUGGUUUAGUCAAUUUUCAUAUUUGAAUUCAAACGUGGCUCUGGGUCGGGAUCUUGCACAUCAGAUUUGAGUUUGUAGCUGCACAUGCAGCUCUGGGUCAGGUGAGAUUUACGCUCUCAACCUCUCGUGCCCUGCAAUCAUGGAAAAGUGCAACAUGGCCCAAGUUAUGUUCGUAUGCCCACUGAAGUGAACUUCCAAACAUUGCACAUACUAAUGAGGUAUUGCAUACAUCUAUAACAUACCCUGUCCUACAUUCACCUGUGAUCAUUGCUUUUACAAAUGAGUUGAAGUGGUGUCUUUGAUCUCAAGCACACUGGAAAACUUGAGGAUAUGGCAAGCCUGAAGACAGAUGCUAGGCAAUCUUUGAUUCUGCUCAUUGUAAUGGUGUCCUUUGACUGUACAUGAAGCCAGAUUUUCGGAUCAGCUAGCUAUAUACAUCACCAGUCACUACAAUCUCAGAGCAUCCCCCAUACUCCACAAAAUGUGCAACAGCAACUGCUCUUAGAGUUCAUCUGUACCAUUGCAAACUACAGGGAAACAACACAUUUCUAUCAUUAGAUUUAUGUACUGUUGGUUGCAUUUUACAUAACCAAUCCACUUGCAUAAAUCUGAUAUAAGCAAAUGCAAAUUGUUAAGUACAGAAUAAUAGAGUUGAAGUGUUGCAAAUUGCUGCAGAAAUGUUGCUACUCCUCCAUGUUCUACUCAAGAGGUCUGGCAAACAUAAGGAUAUUCCGAGACCAAUGACAGCAACCAAGCAAUUUUCAAUUCUACUUCUUGUGGUUUGGUCAUGGGCAUCUGUAUGCAACCACAUUUUUGUGUCGACUAUCUCCCAGAUUCGCUCUGGAAGAGCGUCCUCUGAAAACUUGUGCAGAUCCAAUGAUCCUCUGAACACGUCAUCAGUUGGGCUCC